UAUGUGUAAAAAGCGUCUUAUUAUCGAACAUUAAUAAUGACCGUUAUCAAAAAUAUAUAGAACUCCUUUACAACCAUUUCUCAAAUUGUUGAUGCAUAUCACAUAGUUCAUUUACAGUUGUUUGUGCUUCAUAAGCAAGGUAGUUUUCAACUGUAAACACCAAGGAAUAGUUACUCAACAAUACCACAUGGAUUAACAUUGUGACAUAAAGCUCAAUUAUAACUGAUUAUUGUUCGUAUCGAAAGCGAAGCAAACAUGAUGUCACGCACACAUUCUAGAAAAUUAUUGUUCAAUGCUAAGUGAAUGAUUCGUCAUAAUGUUGCACAAGCUUUGUGUGAGUAUCGGCUUGAAUAUCGAUAAACUCGGGUGAGAACUUGAGUGGAAUUGAAAAGAAAAAAACAAAACAGUUGAGUCGGGAGGAGAUUUCGGCAAAUAAUUAUUAUUUGAACUAGACCGAUAACCAAUGUUCACGGAUGUUCUCAUGGUGUCGACGAUUGCCAAUCGGAACAAUUGGAAACAUCAUUCCAACGGCCGCCAGCAGGAUCGGUUUAGUCAAGUCAUCCGUGGAGGAUAAAUCCGGCAAAUGCUAUGGCCGUUGGUCGCACAGCUUAUCAACGGCCAAAUUAACAACAUCCCCUCAGCUCCUUCCGGAGAAAGGUUCUCCACGAGUACCGAUCACGCUAGGAGCUCUCGCAACAGCACGCGGCGCUGACCGGGGAUACAAGUAAGAAAAUGCUGAAACACCAGCUGGAUUUCACCGACCGGUACAAACCGAUGGAUAACCAACUCAAUAAUGCAUAUGUUGCCACAGGAUAUGUGGUUUAUGACUGCCGGAGGUCCCCUCGGAAACUUGAUAGAGAUGCAACGCCAUCAAUGUAAGUCUUGUUAAAAACUAUUAUAAAAAAAUAGAUUUUUCCAAUAGGAUAGGAAUCAAUAAUACUGGGUGUACUACUGCAA